GGCGUGCCUAAUACAUGCAAGUCGAACGAGAACCCGGAGCUUGCUCCGGGGGACAGUGGCGAACGGGUGAGUAACACGUGAGAAACCUGCCCUAGAGACUGGGACAACCAUUGGAAACGAUGGCUAAUACCGGAUGCCUUCACAUGGCCGCAUGGCCGAGUGAAGAAAUGCUCAGGCGCUCUAGGAGGGUCUCGCGGCCUAUCAGCUAGUUGGUGGGGUAACGGCCUACCAAGGCAUCGACGGGUAGCUGGUCUGAGAGGACGAUCAGCCACACUGGGACUGAGACACGGCCCAGACUCCUACGGGAGGCAGCAGUAGGGAAUCUUGCGCAAUGGGGGAAACCCUGACGCAGCAACGCCGCGUGUGGGAUGACGGCUUUCGGGUUGUAAACCACUUUCAGAGAUGACGAAAAUGACGGUAAUCUCAGAAGAAGGUCCGGCCAACUACGUGCCAGCAGCCGCGGUAACACGUAGGGACCAAGCGUUGUCCGGAUUUAUUGGGCGUAAAGAGCUCGUAGGCGGUUUUGUAAGUCGGAUGUGAAAACUCAGGGCUCAACCCUGAGACGCCAUCUGAUACUGCAAUGACUAGAGUCCGGUAGGGGAGCAUGGAAUUCCUGGUGUAGCGGUGGAAUGCGCAGAUAUCAGGAGGAACACCAAUGGCGAAGGCAGUGCUCUGGGCCGGAACUGACGCUGAGGAGCGAAAGCAUGGGGAGCAAACAGGAUUAGAUACCCUGGUAGUCCAUGCCGUAAACGUUGGGCACUAGGUGUGGGUCUUCUAACGGAUUCCGUGCCGUAGCUAACGCAUAAUGCCCCGCCUGGGA
rnacentral:rRNA from 1 species